UGGGGAAUAUUGCACAAUGGGGGAAACCCUGAUGCAGCGACGCCGCGUGAGCGAAGAAGUAUUUCGGUAUGUAAAGCUCUAUCAGCAGGGAAGAUAAUGACGGUACCUGACUAAGAAGCCCCGGCUAACUACGUGCCAGCAGCCGCGGUAAUACGUAGGGGGCAAGCGUUAUCCGGAUUUACUGGGUGUAAAGGGAGCGUAGACGGCGAAGCAAGUCUGGUGUGAAAACCCGGGGCUCAACCCCGGGCCUGCAUUGGAAACUGUUUUGCUUGAGUGCCGGAGAGGUAAGCGGAAUUCCUAGUGUAGCGGUGAAAUGCGUAGAUAUUAGGAGGAACACCAGUGGCGAAGGCGGCUUACUGAACGGCAACUGACGUUGAGGCUCGAAAGCGUGGGGAGCAAACA
rnacentral:rRNA from 1 species